UAAAAUGUGUUUUAAUGCAGGGAAACUGUUAAGGUGGAACCGAAAUGUGUUUUAAGGCGGAAGGGAAAUAUGAACAAGAAACUAAAAGCUGCAUACUCUGCAGUAGCCCAAUUUACAAGUCUCUCAGAGCCGUGAAUAGUUUUCAUCAUCUGUAUCCACAAGAUUCUGAAGAUCUUACAGGUGUAAACCUUUACUCCCCAUCUUACAGCCCUACGGUCCCUAGACGUGAACAGAAACUGAUCAGCAAACCCCAGUGAGCCGUUAUCAAGACAAUCAUAAAUGAAGUGCUUUCUGAUCCUGACAUAACCUUUGACGAUUGUGACCUGGAGGAUGAUCUCAAUGAUUUUUGCCAUCUUUCCAAGUCUGUGGAUCUGAUUUGCAAGAAACUUGCCUAUGUGACAUAUAGACAUGGUUCAAGACGUCAAUGUAAGCAUGUUCGUUCAUUGUGAAAAAACGUUUGAAUCUGAUUAUGAAUUUGUGCUUUGCUACUCAGUAAACCACAUGUGUCAAACACAAGGCCCGCGGGCCAAAUGUGGCCCGCCACGUCUUUUUAUGUGGCCCGCGAGAGCUUGUAAGAUCUUAGUGUCUAUAAUAAAUAAGUCAGAAGC